CUACGGGAGGCAGCAGUGGGGAAUAUUGGACAAUGGGGGCAACCCUGAUCCAGCAAUGCCGCGUGGGUGAUGAAGGCCUUCGGGUCGUAAAGCCCUGUCAGUGGGAACGAAACCUGAGAGUUCGAAUAGGGCUCUCAAUUGACGGUACCCGCAGAGGAAGCACCGGCUAACUCCGUGCCAGCAGCCGCGGUAAUACGGAGGGUGCAAGCGUUGUUCGGAGUUACUGGGCGUAAAGCGCGUGCAGGUGGUCUUUUAAGUCUUGUGUGAAAGCCCUCGGCUUAACCGAGGAAUUGCGCAGGAAACUGGAGGACUUCGAGUCCGGGAGAAGAGGGCGGAAUUCCCAGUGUAGAGGUGAAAUUCGUAGAUAUUGGGAAGAACAUCGGCGGCGAAAGCGGCUCUCUAGACCGGUACUGACACUCAUACGCGAAAGCGUGGGUAGCAAACAGGAUUAGAUACCCGCGUAGUC
rnacentral:rRNA from 1 species